ACAAGUCUGUCUUCUCUUUAAUGCCUCAUUUGUCUUGGCACAAAGACACAUGAUUAGGCUCAGAGUGGCAUGUUUUGGCAAGGAGAGAAUGGGCAAGGGGUCAUCGAUGGACCGGAGAUGGGAUGGUAGGGACGGAAACUGCAGGGUCCGCAGAAGGAACUGCUCACCGAAAGCCAACAAGCUUGCCCUGUGGAAUCCCAGAAAGGCCCAGGAACUUCGGGACAUCACUGAAGGCAGAGUGAAGAGAGGAAGAGAAGACAGAGAAAUGGAGGGGAGAAAACUAUUAAAAUAAGUAAUAAGAAAACUUUCCCCAGAAGUGCGGAAUCUGAAUUUCCAGUAUAAAAGGGUCCAUUGAGCGCCAAGAACAAUGAAGGAAAAAAGGUCCCACUCAGGCCUACGUAUCAUUGUGAAAUUUCAGAACUAGAGGGAUAAAGAAAAGAUCCUAAAAGCUUCCCGAGAGAUAAAAAAGAAGAUUUUUACAAAGGAUCAGCAAUCAGAAUUGCCUCAGACUGCUCAAUAAAAACAUCAGAAGCUAGAAGAAAAUAGAGCGAGGCAUCAAAAUCCUGAGGGAAAUGAUUCCCACCUAUAAUUUCAUAUUCUGCUCAAUUAUCAAUUGAGUAUUGAAGGGAAAUAAAGACAUUUUUAGACA
rnacentral:lncRNA from 1 species